UGCCACCUCAGCUUCCUCCCACGUAGAACGGGAAAAGCGUUAUUCAUCUCCUGGGCGGCUCUGCAGCUCCGUGAGAUGGCGCCUGCACCACCCCCCCGGCCGACCUGGGGCUGCAGCGGGCGCUGUCUCUGCAUCCGGCUCGGCCGCACCGUCGGGAGCACGCGUGGGCGCUGCCCUUCCGUGGCCCUUGGCCACGUGCUGCCCACCACCACCCUUCCACCAGCAAAUGGGAACGGCAGUGGCGCCCAGGUGGAGGAGAGCGGCGCUCCACCCAAAGGGUCAUGCAGCGAGGCGGCCCACAUCCUGGGUUCUGGAGCAAAACGCGUGAUCACUGGCGAAUUGCUUCACUUCUGGAGACUUGUGUGGUUGGGCAGAUGCGGAAAGCAAUCCCUACCUCACAGCGCCGAGACAUUAAGCAACAUGUGCUGUGGACAGCUGUGCUGAACAGAGUCAACUUCUGAGCAAGAGCCCCAGAUGGUGAGGACAGCUGAGUCAGCCGACCAUACUCAGGACCAUAGAAAAUGGGGUACAGCGACACACCCAGUGCCAGGGGACCGGAAGAGAAAGGACGGCCAUGCGUGAGCCCCCAGGACACUUCCCCGGAACUCAGCAGCAGCCAUUUGCGCACUGAGCAACAGGGAUGAGAAAGGCUGCGGGCAGUGAGCAGAUAUGGGCGCUACGUUCUUCUGUGCCUCGCCAGAUCUUCAACGUUGUUCAGUAUCCUUUUCUGAUCUUUCGCCGGGCUCUCGGAGCUGGACUCAGUGGCCGGAUUGAUAUACAUGAUUUAUUCACUAUUGCCAGAGUCAGGAAGUUCAUUUUUUCUUCUAUAUUUCAUUGCUAGUUAGGCCAAAUCCAUUCCUGAAAGGCCUUUAAUUAGUUCCUCAACACCUACUCAGCAGUGUGAAACUAGGCACUAGGAUACAUUAUAGAAGUGUGAUUUAUAAGCCUUUGGGAAGGUAAGGCUCUCCCCUAGAAAUGUUGACUACCAGCCUCCUUUGCCUCAUUGACAAAGUACAGGUAGGCUAAUAAAAUCGGACACUGCCUGAGUCACAAAAAUAUUUCUGUGUAUCUUAGAAAACCAACAUUUUUUUUCUAGCCUGUAGAUUAAGAACUGUAAGACCAGGAUAUGUUUUUAAAAUAAAAAGACCCAAUUCAAUGAUUUUAAUAUGAAUAUCUUUAUUGAAUCACAUCAUUUUAAAUUUGUAAAUCCAGAAGUUUCUAUAUAGUGUUAUAAAUGAUUUUGAUUGUACGUAUGGGAAGUGUUCAGAAAGUUUUAAUAACCACUUUGGAUUUGUUCCUUCCUGUUUUUUUUAUAGAUCUCUAGAAAUGUAUGAUCGUAAGUCAAAUUCUAGCAUCAGAAAAGAAGAGUUGCCUUAAUUUAUCUUUGAUGAUGGACCCAUCCUCUGUAUUCGACUCAUCAUCGUGGGCAGUCCUGGCAGAGUCUACUUGUUCAUGAGACUAACGCCCAAUCCCGACGAUGAGUGGUGUCGCUUGCUCAGAAGUGCCAAGUGUCCAGGCGUGGCCAAUCACGAAGUCACUAACCCACUUUAAAGGUGAGUUGCAAGACACAACCCACAGGGUCUGUUUUCCUGCCUGGAAGAUAGAAGGAUCAUGUUAAGUCAGUGGUUGUAGCAACAAAAGGGCACACCCUUGGGACCUCCACGUCCCAUCCAGGGUGAUUAGAAUUUAAAACUAUGGAUCCUGGGGCACUUGCACGGCUCAGUCAGUCGAGUGUCCAACAUUUGAUUUAGGCUCUGGUCAUAAUCAGGGGGUCAUGAG